rnacentral:rRNA from 1 species
GUCUUUUUGACUAUAAUUUAAAGUCUAACCUGCCCACUGAUAUUUUAAAUGGCUGCGGUAUUUUGACCGUACAAAGGUAGCAUAAUCAAUAGUUUCUUAAUUAGAAGCUUGUAUGAAUGGUUGGAUAAGAAAAUUACUGUCUUAGGUUAAAAUAUAGAAUUUUAUUUUUAAGUUAAAAAGCUUAAAUUUUAUUAAAAGACGAGAAGACCCUAUAGAGUUUUAUAAUUUUUAAAAUUAAAAUUUAUAGAAUAAAAUAUUUUUAUUUGAUUUAAUUAUUUGAUUGGGGUGAUUAAAAAAUUUAAUAAACUUUUUUUUAUUUUUUACAUUAAUUUAUGAACAAUUGAUCCAUUUUUAUGAUUAUAAGAUUAAAUUACCUUAGGGAUAACAGCGUAAUUUUUUCUAAGAGUUCUUAUUGAAGAAAAAGAUUGCGACCUCGAUGUUGGAUUAAAGGAAAUUUAUGGUGAAGAAGCUAUGAUAUUAAGUCUGUUCGACUUUUAAAACUUUACA